AUUGAACGCUGGCGGCAGGCCUAACACAUGCAAGUCGAGCGGAUGAGAGAAGCUUGCUUCUCGAUUCAGCGGCGGACGGGUGAGUAAUGCCUAGGAAUCUGCCUGGUAGUGGGGGACAACGUUUCGAAAGGAACGCUAAUACCGCAUACGUCCUACGGGAGAAAGCAGGGGACCUUCGGGCCUUGCGCUAUCAGAUGAGCCUAGGUCGGAUUAGCUAGUUGGUGAGGUAAUGGCUCACCAAGGCGACGAUCCGUAACUGGUCUGAGAGGAUGAUCAGUCACACUGGAACUGAGACACGGCCCAGACUCCUACGGGAGGCAGCAGUGGGGAAUAUUGGACAAUGGGCGAAAGCCUGAUCCAGCCAUGCCGCGUGUGUGAAGAAGGUCUUCGGAUUGUAAAGCACUUUAAGUUGGGAGGAAGGGUUGUAGAUUAAUACUCUGCAAUUUUGACGUUACCGACAGAAUAAGCACCGGCUAACUCUGUGCCAGCCGCCGCAGUAAAAC
rnacentral:rRNA from 1 species